rnacentral:rRNA from 1 species
UACAGAGGGUGCGAGCGUUGUUCGGAAUUAUUGGGCGUUAAGGGCGCGUAGGCGGUGCGGUCAGUCACCUGUGAAAUCUCCCGGCUCAACCGGGAGUCUGCAGGCGAAACUGCCGUGCUGGAGUAUGGGAGAGGUGCGUGGAAUUCCCGGUGUAGCGGUGAAAUGCGUAGAUAGCUGCAGGAACACCCGUGGCGAAAGCGGCGCGCUGGACCACAACUGACGCUGAGGAACGAAAGCUAGGGGAGCAAACAGG